rnacentral:ncRNA from 1 species
UGGAAUUUAGAAGUACUUAAUGUUCUGGUAGAAAACCAGAAAUACCUGAACACGAUGUUCAGGUAAGACGCCACUGAGCCAUGGAUGGCGAAUUGGCGGCGGUUUCGUACGAUAUAGAUAUGGAAGGACAGAACAUUUAGUACUUCUUAAUUUCGA